rnacentral:sRNA from 1 species
AUUUUUGUCGCUAGGCAUGCUUAAAUAACCAUAGCUUUCUGCUUUCCACUUUUCACAAAUUAAGUAAAAGUGGAGGAACAAGUCGAAUUUUUAUGAUAGAAACAAUGGGAAGAUGGCAAGGAACAUUUUGCAUUGGCAAAUAUUAUUACAGGGAGGCACUAUUCGAACACAGCUGAUUUUCUCAUUCAGGCUAGUCUAUGUCAGCUUCUCGGACUCCUUUUUCUCU